UACGUAGGGUCCGAGCGUUGUCCGGAAUUAUUGGGCGUAAAGCGCGCGUAGGCGGCCACUUAAGUCGGAUGUGAAAGCCCCUGGCUCAACUGGGGAAGUGCACCCGAAACUGAAUGGCUUGAAUGCAAAAGAGGGUCGCGGAAUUCCCGGUGUAGAGGUGAAAUUCGUAGAUAUCGGGAGGAACACCGGUGGCGAAGGCGGCGACCUGGGUUGACAUUGACGCUGAGGCGCGAAAGCGUGGGGAGCAAACAGG
rnacentral:rRNA from 1 species